GCUGCCUUGUUGUUGGCGACUGUUAGGUGCUUGUUUAGAAAUUAGUGUUUAUUUCGUUCAGUUUGUGUGUGUUUUGUUAAUAUAGAAUACAGUGAUGCGCGGAUAAUAAUUUAAAAUUUAAUGUCUUGAAUCGAAGAUUCACCAACGGGAGAGCAUUUUAACAUCACUCCCAACUUAUUUAGUAAUAGUUGAGACCCAGCCAAGAUGUCAAAGAUGUGGCCUGCGUCCCAAUAUUCUCACACAAACACCCAGCCUAUAAAGGCUACGAAUGAACACCAGAACCAGCAAAAUCUGAAGACCUUGGGCAUGACCUCUGCAAUUUCUACAGCAGGGCCUAAACCAAUUGAUAUAGAAAAAACGAAUGAUCUUAAAGUUUCUCUCACACCCUUUGGAGUUUUUGAGUCUGAAGCAGAGAUGCACCAUAGGAUGGAAGUUCUCGGUGCUUUACAUCGUCUGGUGAGGCAAUGGAUAAGAGAUGAGUCUUUAAGAAAAAACAUGCCGCCUAGCGUCGCUGAUACUGUCGGUGGAAAUAUUUAUACUUUUGGAUCUUAUAGACUAGGGGUUCAUCAUCGCGGUGCCGAUAUAGACGCAUUGUGCGUUGCGCCUCGUCAUAUAGAAAGAUGCGACUAUUUCUUAACGUUUUAUGACCUUUUAAAGCAACAACCACAGGUUAAAGAUUUGCGAGCCGUUGAAGAUGCUUUCGUGCCUGUUAUCAAAAUGAAUUUUGACGGAAUUGAAAUUGACUUACUUUUUGCCAGAUUAGCCCUCAAGGAAAUACCUGAUUCCUUUGAUUUGAGAGACGAUAUGCUGCUUAAGAAUCUAGAUCAGAAAUGCGUACGUUCACUGAAUGGAUGUCGCGUUACCGACGAAAUUCUACGUCUCGUACCUAACAUAAACAACUUCCGACUGACGCUCAGAGCUAUUAAACUGUGGGCCAAACGUCACGGCAUUUACUCAAACACCCUGGGAUACCUGGGUGGUGUAUCCUGGGCCAUGCUAGUUGCCCGAACCUGUCAAUUGUAUCCAAACGCAUUGCCUGCCACUCUAGUCCACAAGUUCUUCUUGGUGUUCAGCCAGUGGAAGUGGCCCCAACCGGUCUUGCUAAAACAGCCCGAUCAUGUCAAUCUAGGUUUUCCUGUUUGGGAUCCAAGGGUGAACGUAGCCGACAGAUACCACCUAAUGCCCAUCAUCACGCCCGCAUACCCUCAGCAGAACUCCACAUUUAACGUUUCAGCUUCAACUAGAACAAUCAUCAUGGAAGAGUUUAGACUUGGGCUUGCAGUGACCGACGAGAUAAUGCUCGGCAAAUGCGGCUGGGAGCGUCUAUUCGAGGCGCCGAAUUUCUUUUCCCGCUACAAACACUUCAUAGUGCUGUUGGCUUCCUCCGCUAGCGCCGACGAUCAGCUGCAGUGGUGCGGACUCAUUGAAAGCAAGAUACGUCAUCUUAUCGCUACACUGGAACGCAAUCAACAUAUAACGAUAGCUCACGUUAACCCGGAGUGCUAUAACUCAGUGCCGCUGAACACCAAUAAUGGGCAACCGUUAGCCUUACCACCCGGGUCAACCAUACCCCGCGAGACAUCGCCAGAGUUGAACAAAAAUGACAAAGGCGAAGUGGUGGUGAAUCAUUGUUCGAUGUGGUUCAUUGGAUUGGUAUUCGAGAAGACAAAUGUAAACGUCGAUCUGACUUACGAUAUCUCUUCGUUCACCAAGGCUGUGCUAUACCAGGCUGAAAAUACGAAUAUGCUGCGAGAGGGACUCACUAUUGAGGCUCGUCACGUCCGUCGCAAGCAGCUGCACCAGUAUCUGUCGGCCUCGCUGCUGUGCCGCCGCGAGCGCACCGCCUCCGGGAACAAAAGGAAACCCGACGGUGCUCUCACACACCCGCCCAAGAAGAGUAAACGACUGUCCGAAAGUAGCACGGACGAAGUCAGCAUCUUAUCAUACAAUGACGACUCGAACUCUUCAAACCUCUGCGAAGUAAACAUCCAGAACGGUUCUGCUAAUGGGACGGCGGAGACUCCGAAGGCCGACGCCUCUACAUCUAGUACUAUAGCGUGCACAUAGCAUUACGAAGCCUGGCGCCAGCGGUUCAUUUACGGCACCGAUACCGUCAAGACGAACAAACUGAGGCGCUUCUAAUUGAUAAAGGACAUUACAAACAUGAGUGGUACAGUGAUAUUAAAACUAAUAAGUGAUGUGAUCGUGGUCUUAGGUAACGAAGCAAUAAUGUGUUUUGUGAUUAUCGGAAUGGAAUCUUUGGUGAUUCUCAGGUAUCCGGUGGGACGGAUUCCGGCGCCAAGUAAGUUUGGUUCCUUCAAUUUUAUAGAAUAGUGUCUUUUGCAAGAGUAAUAUUAUUUAGUGCUUUGUUGUGUUUAGUCCAAAUGGUACUUAACCAUUAUCAAAUUUACUAUUUUUAUUGACUACUUUGUGUGAAAUGUGUCUGGAUUAUGUCGAGUUUCAGGCAGUGCUAGUGAAGGCUAUGAUAAAAAACAAACGCUAUUUACAUUUUUGUGUCUCUUUGACACGGCUCCUUACUCAACACAAGACACAAUAAAACAAUUUUGUUUUGUUACACAAAUUGGGAAUGUGAUUAGAUUAAUUUUUUUCCUGAAUUUGAUGGAAUUCAACACCAUUAUCACACAUAAGUCAGUCUAUAAAUUCAAUGAAGGAUUUAUACACGAGUAUACUCUUGCGAAAGACAGUAAAGUACAAAGUGGAAGAAAUAAUCUAUUUUUGUUUUCUAUUUUACGAUAUUCCAUCGAAUAGCGUUUGCUCGACAACUCAAUUUGAAAAGAUGUAAAUAUAUUAUGUAGAAAUGUUUUUUGAAAAAUUCAUGUAGGUGUUUGAUCAUUGAGAAUUUGCAAAUUUUACUUGUCGGACCACGUAAUUUUUAUGAUGAAUGUUGAUACAGACGAGAAAUACUUUGACAGAAAUAACUAGGCAGUCUUUGUUCCAAAAAGAUUUUCAACUAAAACAUAUAAUUAAAACCGUUGAAACAUUGUACUGUGGAGGUCAUUGUGAAAUUUGAUAACAUUUAUAGGACGCACAUCAUUUUUAAAACAUAUUGCUUAUACAUUUUGGUUGUACUACAAUCUGUUGCACUUGAUGCUGAGGACGUUGUAGUCUCCUUGCUCUUACUUUCAGCAGUUGCCAGCUUUUAGUUGGUGGAUUUCCCUUCUAACAUUGUUUCUUUGUCCUAUGUUUGUCGAUGGGGUGAUUCAAUCUAGUAAGCUUUGUAGUUCAUUUGCACAGGCAGUGCAGAUGUAGAUGAACACUGAGUCAUGAUAACAAAAUGUUUAUUACAUAUAAAUAAUAAGUAUAUUCUACAACAUGUUAAUUUAUAUGAAUAACAU